rnacentral:piRNA from 1 species
UAGGGUGUUCUGUAUACAUCUGCUGC